GACGAACCGUGCGAACGUUGUUCGGAAUCACUGGGCUUAAAGGGCGCGUAGGCGGGUUCGCAAGUCUGUGGUGAAAGCCUCCAGCUUAACUGGAGAAGUGCCGUGGAUACUGCGAAUCUUGAGGAGGGUAGGGGCGUCUGGAACGGUCGGUGGAGCGGUGAAAUGCGUUGAUAUCGGAAGGAACGCCGGUGGCGAAAGCGGGUCUCUGGACAGUUCCUGACGCUGAGGCACGAAGGCCAGGGGAGCAAACGGG
rnacentral:rRNA from 1 species